rnacentral:pre_miRNA from 4 species
UAUUUAAGCUGAAUGCAUUGUGAUUUCCAGUAAUUGAGACAGUGAUUCUGAAAGCUGUCCACAUUAAUGAAAAGAGCAAUGUAGUCAGCUUAACUG